rnacentral:tRNA from 1 species
GUCGGCGAGCAGUUCGUCGGCGGGCAGCCGUCCCACCAGGACGGCGAGGGCGCGUUUCCAGCGGGCCACGACCGCGUCGUGGUCGCCGACG